CUGGCAGCCAAACUUGGUCAUGUGUAAGAGUCACCCAGGUAGUACCCAGGGGUUGAAGGCAUAAAGGGGUCAUGGAGAGCAGCUGAGGCUUGGCACCGUGAGAGGCCAGGAGAGGCCCUUGGCGGCGGCGCAGCCAGAGUAGCGGUGGAAGCCUCAGGAUUGGAGGAGUCAUGGAGAAAAGUUGAGGCCUUGCACCAUAGAGAGACCUCAGGAGGACUAACGGGGCAAGUGCAGCCCAGUUGCAGUAGGGAAGACCCCAGUGUUUUGGAGAAGCCAGAACCAUGGACUGACCACCAAGGAUGGCAGCAAGCGCAGAGCGGAGCUGUCCUGAGCUUAGGAGACAAGCUGUGUGUGCUGCAGAGGGCAGAGCUGGAGAAAGGACCCCAGUGAUUUGAAGGAACCCAGAAGAUGAGCUUAUUUUCAUAGAAAAAGCAGAGGAGCAUGAAUGAGUAUCUCCCGUGAAGGCCUCUGUUCCAGUCCGUGGUCACAGAUAGACCGUGAGCAGCCAGCUGAAAUUACAGUCAUGAUUACAAGUAGGAGGAUUCCGUAUGCGCAAACUCUACCAUCCAAACCUGCAGACGAUGGCAGACAAUCAUCUUGGAGGAACGAGAGGUGCCAGGAGCUCACAGGGUCAGGAGCCCUGCCCUGCACCCUUUAAAGACAGAAUGUUACCUGGUGCUGGAAAGAAAGAAAUGAAGAAGAAAAUGGUUCCCAUCCGUGUGCUGUUCGCAGUCUGUCGGGCAAGCCCACAUUUGCAAGCCCAGGGGAAAAAGGUUCCGGAAGUUCCAGGAACAAAUCGGGUAGAUCUGACCUCAUCUGGAAGCUGGAGGGAUCCAUUCUCAGCUGGAAUUUGGAAGGCUCUGCUCCCUUCAGCUAGCCUCUCCACAUUGGCAGGCUCCAGUUGAGAGGGACCCUGCUCCAAAGCCUUCCUCCUCCC